CUGCUUGUGCUUGGGAGGUGACCUCUCAGCUUCCGGUUCCUGCCGCCAUGUCUGCAGCGUGCUGCCCCGUCUCCAGUGCUUCCCUGAAACACCGUGGACUAUUUUCUCUCUGGAACCGGAAACCAGAGUAAACUGUUCUGUCCAUAUGUGCUUUUGGUCGUGGUGUUUUAUCACAGCAACAGAAAAAUGGCACCAGAGGCCCUGGCCUAACUUUCUGGCAGAUCAAACUCAUGUUUGGCUUGUGCCCGCCUUAUGACCACACUGUCUGGGCUUGACUGAGGAAGAUCUUGAGCUUCAGAAAGGCAACAGCUUUUGGAAUAGCUGCUGUUCCAGUUGUUCGGGACCCACAUGAAGACCAAGCUGCCCAUCUGCUACGUAUGUGCUGGGAGGCCUAGGUCCACCCUGUGUAUGUUCUUUGGCUGGUGGUUCAGAUUCUGAAAGCCCCAAGGAUCCAGGUUAGUUGACUCUGUUGUUCUUCUUGUGAAAUUCCUAAACCCCUCAGGACACGCAAUCCUUCCUGCUAUUCGUCCAUACGAGUCCCCAAGCUCCAUCCACUGUUUGGCUGUGGGUAUCUUUUCCAUCUGAGUCAGCUGCUGGAGCCUCUUAGAGGACAGCACUUCUGUCUGUAUGGUUCUGUCUGUAUGAAGGUGGAGGAGAGGUUGGGGGAGAAUGGAGGUACCCCUGGGAGAACAGACUGCUGGGGGUGGGGGCGGGGUGGGGUGGGUGACCUU
rnacentral:lncRNA from 1 species